UAAUACGUAGGGUGCGAGCGUUAAUCGGAAUUACUGGGCGUAAAGCGUGCGCAGGCGGUUCGUUAUGUCCGUUGUGAAAGCCCCGGGCUCAACCUGGGAAUGGCAAUGGAAACUGGCGAGCUAGAGUGUGGCAGAGGGGGGUGGAAUUCCGCGUGUAGCAGUGAAAUGCGUAGAGAUGCGGAGGAACACCGAUGGCGAAGGCAGCCCCCUGGGCUGACACUGACGCUCAGGCACGAAAGCGUGGGGAGCAAACAGGAUUAGAUACCCUGGUAGUCCACGCCCUAAACGAUGAUCACUAGGUGUUGGCGGAGCAAUCUGCUGGUACCGUAGCUAACGCGUGAAGUGAUCCGCCUGGGGAGUACGGUCGCAAGAUUA
rnacentral:rRNA from 1 species